rnacentral:lncRNA from 1 species
UAGCAUUAAAAUGCAAACACACGCACACCCUGUCCACUACUGUGAGAGAGGAAGAGAACCAUCAGAAAACACUGAGUGAAAAGAACACAACUACUCAUGAAACAAUCACUCUAAAUGAUUAAUUUAAAUGAUGAUGAUGAGCUACGUAGCUGGCAAUUAAAAGCAACAUGCCAAGCAAUAUACCUGCUACUUUACAUGCAUUAUCUUAAUCUAUUACAAAAUUCUACAAAAAAGAAAUUACCCAAUUGUACAGUGAGAAAGCAAUCUCAAUGUCUGAAUAAUCUGCCCAAAGCAAAACCAAAAAAACCCAGAGAGCAUUUAUAUUCUUUCCACCACACUGGAAUGUCUCUUACUACCACUCAUCUACUCUAGAUUUAGGAACAAUAAGAUUGGAUGCUUGUGGGAAGUAUUAUGCUAUUAUAGCUAAACAAUCUUUUUUUGAACAUAAACAUGAAUUUUGAUAGCCUUUUGGAAAUAUCUUUGCUGCUAACAGUACAAACCAAAGUAGCAAAGAAUGUCUCAAUUUUUACUGAUAAAAAAUUCGAAAGCUCAUUCAUCAUUUUGGUGAUAUGCAUUAUCUUUUAGAAAUUCCAUUUCUCUACUCGUCUUUGUUGCAUGUAUAUUUUUGAAUAGAAUACUACACUACCUCUCUCCCAAGUAAAGCCUGCAUAUUCCCCAGAGUAUUUCCACCAAGAACAAACAGAUACAUUUCUUGGCUUUUUUUUUUUAAAGUAUUUUUAUUAACUAAAACUUGCUGGAUUUAGAUCAACUUAGUUUUGGUACCACUAGGUUUACUAUACAUGUGCAACCUACAAUAACAUUCAUUCCUAUUUUCCUAACUAUUUCAGAUACAUGUAAUAUAUUUUCCAACUUAGCCCAAUUUACCAUUUAAACAUCAACUGGGAAUACAAAUUGUUAUUAAGUUAAAGCCUGUUGUAAGAUUAAGUUUACUAUUGAAUUGACACAGACUGUAAAAGCAAAAUGCCACAUCAUGGUGGUACUUCCUGCCAAGUAACAAAAACAAGUUGAUGCUUGAUUUCUGUUUUGUAGUGUAGUGAGCACCCAGGAAAAUUAAAAAAAAAAAUUUCAUAACAUUUUCUGAACCCAAAUCUCUUUUGGAAGCUGUAUCAGAGCAAAAACUUAACACUGCAUAAUUAGUCUUAGGGUACUCUUUUGUAAUUCUACAAAAGUUAUUCUCACAUCAUAAUUAUAUUCAUGUGUGUGAUAUUGGAAAAGGUUCUCACUAUCAAUUAUGAACCCUAAGUAAAGGGUAGCCUCAAGAUCCCAAGGCCUGUGAAACUUGAGUGCAUCAAGGGGCCCUUGCUCUCACUUGCCUCAACAGAGAGAACGGACAGACAUUAUUUUCAAAGGGAUCAGAUAACCACCUAAUUGGAUACAUGAUUGGCUCCUCCUGGGCAGGGAAGGUAAACAAAAAACUAACAUGGCCAAAUUUUAUUUCUCUGUAAAUUAAAUCUUUCUUGUAUCCUCUUUGUUAUCUUUUUAAUGGGAUAGGAAAAAAAUGUUUACCACAGGAAGAAAGAAAUGACCCUAAAACACAUCCAACCACUUGGGCAAUGUUACACAUAACUGCCAGGUGUCAAGACACCAGUAAAAUUCUCAAAUGAGUGGAAUGAAGCUGAGGCAAAAAAGGAUGUUGGGCAUAUUUAAAUAAUUACAAGACAUAAAAUAGCCAAAUCUUGUCUCCCAUAUACCAUAUUAUGCUUGACGCUCUACAUGUAUUACUCCAUGAAUCUUCUAAAAGAAACUCCAGAAGUAUUACUGUCUUCAUAUUACAGAUGAAGAAACUAUAGUUCAGGAAGAUUCAGUUGUAUGUUCCAGUGUUCACAGGAUGGAAAACCUGCAUAAAUAUUAGCUAGAUGACUAAAUAAGUGAAGAUGAAAAGGUAGGACUGGUUAUAUUCAGUUUAAGAACACUGAGUUUCUAUGCCUGUAAUCACAGCUACUUGGGAGGCUGAGGCACGAGACUCGCUUGAACUCAGGAGGCAUAGGCUGCAGUGAGCCGAGAUUGCACCUGCACUCCAGCCUGGGCGACAGAGCAAGAUUCCGUCUCAAAAACAAAACAAACCAGUAACUUAAUCUUGAACUAACACAAGCCAAGGUGCAAUUACUUUACACAGCUAUAGUGCACUGGAAAAAAAAAAAGUUCUCUUAGACUACAUGUUACCAAGAGCACUGGUAGUACAUUAAUGAAAUGUGGGGAUUCCAGAUAAUUCUGAAUAUACACUUACAAAAGUACAGCUACAAAAUUCUCUCCUGGGGACUUUAAUACUUCAUGAAAAUUUUCCCACAGAAGAUUUUGCAAUCAGCUGACAUGAACAGCAGACAUGCUUUAAACUCCAAAGCUACUCUCCUGGCUAUCUCUUCUUCGAGUCUUCAUUCAAGUGGCCCCAUGAAGAGCACCAGUGGAACUUCCCAUUGCCCUUUGGGAACUCCAACCAGAUCAAUGCCGUGAACCCAGAAGCUGCUCCUGGCCCUGAGAUGAUGCUCCUUCAAGACUGUCCCAAGCCUGGGCAACACAGGGAGAC